CAUCGAAAUUUUGUCUUAUAAACUUUUUACUAUUAAUACAUUAACUUUACUGAUGCUGGUCACCUGAUUAGUGAAACAUAACUCCAAGAAUUUUUAAUUUUUGUUGAAUUAUUCUGCCCACUGUGUUAAAACAGACUCCAACUUUCAUAAACCAAGCGAAUUAUUGUGCACAUUUGGAAAACAGAAUAUAGAGAAAAUAGAGAAAGCACCCUUACCUGACGAAAAAAUGAUGGAGCCGGAGUCAAUUUUAGUUCAUCCUGACUACCGAACUGGAUCUGCAAACGCUGAUAUUGCACUACUUAAAUUUGAGGAUAUUGAGUUCAAUCCAAUAAUAAAACCACUUUGUUUGUGGACAGGAGCAAAUGAAUUAAAUCUAAUUGUAGGCAGACAAGGAACUGUAG